GUUUCGCUUGGAUCGGUGACGGCCGCGGGUAGGAGCGGCCCGGCCGAGUGGGUGGAGCCGGCCGCUAUCCGAUUGGAGACGCGGGGGAGGAGCGGCGGUGACGACAGAUUUCUUCUGAAUCUGGGCGAUGCGGUUGAGAGGGCCAAGAGCAGAAGUCAGUAGCCUGAGAAGAAUGAAUCAAUCUGAGAAAGCAAGUCAAGCUGAGAGAGAGAGCUGCAGAGACAGACAUUCAAAUUGUUCACAUUUACUGUUUGGAAACAGUGAUUUGUUUUCAUAAGAUUUGUUUAACCAGCUGCGGUGGGUGAGUGAAACAUCAAUUAUCAGUUGAAUGAAAAACCACAGAUGCCUUAUGAGAAAAUGCCUGAUGGGACACGAGAGCUUUGCUGUGAUUAAGGCUUGCACCUUUGAGCCAACGCAGUGCCACACUUGACAAGGCAGAAUACGAAUGGCCCAGGCAAGUCAACAAAUUGAUAUUCAGGUUCUGCAUGACCUGCGGCAAAAGUUCCCUGAAGUACCAGAGUGUGUUGUCUCCCACUGUAUCCUGCAGAACGGUAACAAUUUGGAUGCUUGCUGUAAGUUCUUAUCUCAAGAAAGCACCAAAUAUCUUUAUGGAGAAGGGGACCUGAAUUUUUUGGAUGAGUCCAGCAUUUCUGGGAUUCACAAUCACAUGUCUGAACUAAAUCUAGAUGUCCAGUCCCAGAAUGUGUAUCAGCAUUGGAAGGAAAGGAGUCAAUUGAAUGGAAACAGAACUGUGCCUCAUGGUGUCAGUGAUGGAGCGCUUCCAACUGCUCUAACUAGCUAUGAGCCUACACAGCAACCACAGGUAACGCCAACACAGUUGGCUGCAGGCUUGAAUAUGUUUGGAACUAUGGACAUGAGUCGCAGCCCUUCUUCAACGCAGCAACUUGGACUUCUUCAGCCAUUGGGCUCCAAGGGAAUAUCGAGUACAGCCCAACAAAUGCCCAGGUUCAACCCAAUUACUGUCACUCUAGCUCCCAACCUUCAGACUGGCCAUAACACUCCUACAUCUUUGCACAUACGAGGUGUGCCUCCACCUGUACUUAAUAGCCCCCAAGGUAAUUCUAUCUACAUUAGGCCUUACGUGACAACACAAAGCAGUUCAAACCGCCAGAUGUCACAGCAGCCUGGCUGGAUAGCUGGGCAAAAUACCAGCACUCCUCAGUACAGUCAUAAUCAACAACAGCAGCUUUUCCAAGCCCCACAGUACUCACAACCGCAGCAGAUGGAACAAGUGGCAGGCUUCUGUGCUCCUGUUACUUCACAAUGUGGUUCAGCAUAUACCUCAUCCCAACAGUCUGUGUACCCAGGCCAACAAAACCACCAGACGUCUCAUGUGUACAUGCCUAUCAGCUCCCCCACAACGUCUCAAGUUCCUCCUUAUCAGUCCUCAAAUAAUGCACAUCCUUCAAUUUACAGUCAAUAUAACAUUCAGAACAUCUCAACAGGGUCACGGAAAAACCAAAUUGAGAUCAAACUUGAAUCACCACAGAGGAGUAAUGCAACAAUGCUGCGUCCCUCCAACUCUCGCACAGCCCCUUCACCUUCCAUUAGCAGCCAGUCGGGAGGCAGGAGUCAACCCACAGUUUACAUUUCCGCAAGCCCCCCAUCAUGUGAGGAGAUAGUUGGACGCAACCAGCCGAAGCUCUAUAUCUCGGCAAAUUCUACAUCCGGUGAUGAGCCGGGUCUGCGAAAUCAGCCCACUGUGUAUAUAUCAGCAAACCCAGGUUCAGCAUCUUCCUCCCGAAGUGCUGCAGGACAAAUUAGCAUGGGUCCACAGCAGGGUGCUUUCAUUCAACCCGCCUACAUCCGUCAUCACCCACCCAAGAGUCGGAGUGCAGGCAAUUGCAACACUGCCACUUCUCCGAGAGUGGUGGUCACCCAACCCAAUACCAAGUACACUUUUAAGAUUACAGUUUCACCAAAUAAGCCACCUGCCAUUUCCCCUGGGGUUGCAUCACCAACAUUUGAACCUUCUAAUCUCUUAAGCCUACCCGAUCAUUAUGUGGAGCCUGAACCUGUCCAGCAUUUGCAACUAGCAACUGAUCCUGCUUCAACUCGUGACAAUCGAAUCAGUGAGAUGCGAAGGAUGAGUGCAGGAUCUGAUGAUGCUGCCUAUACAGAAGCUUUACUAGUGCAUCAGAAGGCCAGAAUGGAUCGACUCCGUCGAGAACUUGAGCUGGAGAAAAGAAAGCUAGACAAACUGAAAAGUGAAGUUAAUCAGAUGGAAAGUGACCUUACCCAAAGACGCAUGAAACGAUCAAAUUCGGCCUCCCAAAUCCCAUCGUUAGAGGAAAUGCAGCAACUGAGAAGCAGCAACCGCCAGCUGCAGAUCGAUAUAGACUGCAUAACAAAAGAGAUUGACCUGUUUCAAGCUAAAGGACCACACUUUAACCCCAGUGCUAUCCACAACUUUUACGAUAACAUGGGAUUUCGAGGUCCUGUGCCACCUAAACCGAAAGAGCAGAAACCUGCAGCUAAACCAUCAAAACCAAUAAUUGAUCCAGAGGAGGAUGAAGGGGCUCAAUGGAACUGUAGCACCUGUACCUUCCUGAACCAUCCAGCCCUGAUUCGCUGUGAACAGUGUGAGAUGCCCAAGCAUUUCUGAGCCAUAACGCUCCCAGUGAAAGAACGAAUGCCUCAACAGAUGCUGGGAUAAAGGAAUUGUUUACAAAGACUGUAGUAACUAGCAGAUACAAUGCUGGAAAGAAUUUUAGUAUGGACCAGGUGGUCUUUUUCGUGGAGAUUAUAAUUUCAGCACAAUGGUUUUUGGGAUUGAACACACAGCUUCAAGAUUCAGCAGUCGAGUGCUGGGACCUGAGCUAAUACCAGGUUUGCCCAUACCAGAUACACCUUCACCAAGCAAAAAAGAAGUUUUUCACAAAGCCACAUCUGUAUGAACUGCUGUGGGUCUUAUUGUCUCUUCUGACCUAUCUUCCACAAUUUCCUCCCAAGAUGCAUUUUUAAAGAGAAAACAUGUAACAAAUCUCAGGACGCUACAGAUGGAAAUGAUUAAUACAUUUGAUAAGUAAAAGCAACUAAAUGAGCUGUAAGAACAGCAGAGGGCUUUUGUAUAGCUAGACUUAGAGGAGCACCUGAGAGUGGGUGGAACAGAAUGUGUGCAUCACUAAUAAACCUCACUGCUCUGAUCACCUUUCUGCUCCAAAACUUUCAUAAAAUUCAGCUUUGGGAUGACCAAAUGCUCCAAUGUAUCCUACAAUGUAUACAGUCUACUCUUCAAGCUUACUGUACUGAGCCCUACAGAUCCGGGAAGUUCCAGGUUGACUCCUACCUGUGUGCUCAGUUAGCUCAGGCACUACCCAGAUAAUUCAGUAUAAUACAGCAGAUCUGCAAAAACAUGAGCACUUUUGGAUCUUGGAGGUAAGCAUGUGACUUUUUAAAUCACAGAAUCCAGUGACUAAAUAUGAAAUUGGUCUUCAGUUUUUUUUUAAGGGUUGCGGAAGCAUUUAUCAUCUGAGACCACAAAACACUUUUUCACAUUUUGAAUGUAGUUUUUACAUUUGUAAUGUACGCAUUAUUAUUAAAUAAUUGCAUAUUUUAAAUAUAAAUUAUUCUGCAUAUAGGGAGUCAAAAUUAGGAUUCAUAAAUAUGAGAUAGCCAUGAAUGAAUUCAAAAAAUAAUUUAGGAGGGAGUACUUAGAAUGCUGAGCAUACUGUUUGAUUGAGUGUUUGGAGUAAAAUAUAAAUGCCAUUAGGAUUAGAUGAGUAAGAGAGGGAAGAGGUUUGUGUUGCAGCCUUCACACCAAUGUUGUCUGACUGGGCAAAUUACAUAGAUUUUCAUGCUGUAAAUUCAAAAUCCUGACGCUGAUAAAAAAAAUAAAAAUUCCCAAGUUUUCAUGUUAUAAUUUCUGAAGAAACAAAUAACACUUCUGACAUCCCAAUGAAGCUAAUGAAUGAAGGACACAUGAGGAUUGAGAUAAUCUGUUGGCAUGGAUUGAGAAUUGAUAGGACAACGGUCCCAAAUUCUUCAAUCUAUCUUCAUAACUAAAAGCUUCUCACCCCUGGAACCGUUCUCAUGAAACCUCUUUGACAAUCUUUCCAAUCUGCUCACAUUUUUCCAGAAGAACUGUGCCCAGAACUCUACACAGCAUGCUAGUUGAGAUCCAACCUGUAUAUCCUACAGGUUCAGCAUAACCUUCCUACUCUUGGACUAUGUCUCAACAAACAAAGCCUAACCGUUAUACUCUCCAACUGAUCUGUCCCCUUUAAUGACUUACGAGUGUAAAACCCAGGUCUCUCUGUUGCAGCACAUCAUCCAGAGUGGUGUCCUUUAUUUUAGAUUCACUCUACCUUUAUAACAAAUGUAUCGCCUUGCACUUCUAUGCAUUGAACCUCAUCUGUCCAGUCCCCCAAUUGUCAAUUUCCUUUUGAAACUCUGUGCUCUCCUCCUCACAGUUUACCAUAUUCCCAAGUUUUGUAUCAUGCAAACUUUGAAUUUGUACUGUGCACACUAUAUCAAGAAAAGCAUGAGUCCAAAUACUGGCCCUUAGAGAAUGCUCCUACAAACUUUUCUCAAAGCUCAAAAUAUCCAUUAAUUAUUGCUUUCUGUUUCCUAACUCAGCCAGUUUUUUUUUAAUCCACAUUACUAAGUCCCUUUUGUUCCAUGAGAUCUAACUUUUCUCACAAGUCAGUUUUGCGGUUCUGUAUCAAAUGCCUUUUUUAGAAGUACAUGUACACCACGUCAACAGUAUUACCCUUAUCAACCCUCCCUGGUCCAUCUGUUCCAGCUCAACUGGACAUGACUUUCCCUUUAUAAAACCAUGCUGACUCUCCUUAGUUAACUUUUAUUUGUCCAUAUGUAUCCUGAAUUAUUGUUUCUAAUUGCUUCUCCAUUACCAAAGCUAAAUUGGCUGGUUUGCAAAGUCUGGCACUUCUCCUGAGUCUUAAGACUAAAAAUUUAUGGCCACUCACUUACUUCCCUGAGUGUGUCUGAUCCACCUUUUUGAAGGUAACCAAUUGUUCAGCUGUAGAUUUCCCCACCAUUCUUUGGCAUCAGUCUAUCCAACCCAGUUCCAAUUUUGGCCCAGAAGUUUGCUCUCCCCAGUUAAUCAAUCUAAUUCUGAAUUGUUAAUUGUUUUCCAGAAUGAGCCUAAACCUUACAUUGCUACAGUCACUGUCCUCAACUGAUACCUAAUCUAUUUGGCCCACCUCAUUCCCAAGAAUCAGCCUGGCAGUGCUUAUUUUCUCAGACUGGACACAUACGCUGUUGAAAGUUCUCCUGAACACAGUCUAGAAAUCCUUGCCCUUCUCUGCCAUUUACACUACUACAAUCUCGCUAGACAUUUGGAUAAUUAAGGUGCAUCACUAUAACUGCAAUGUUUGCACCUCUCUGUAUUUUCCAUGUAGAUUUCUUCCUCUACAUUCACCCUAUUAGUAGAUAGCCCAUACAUUACACUGAGCAAUGUACUUAUAUCUUUCUUGUUCCUUGACUCUAGCCAAAUUGACUGUAUACUUCAACCCUCUGGGACACGUUUUCUCCAGCACUGCAAUACUCUCCUUAAUGCCACCCCUCCUUUUUUUCCUUUCCUAUCUUUACUGAAACCUUGUAUCCAGAAAGAUUUAAACCCUGGUCCUAUUCUUUCUUGAGCCAGUAUUAUAGCCACAACACCAUAAUUCCACAUGGCAACCCAUGCCUAUCAAUCUUAUUUA